UGGAUGAGUCCGCGGCCCAUUAGCUAGUUGGUAGGGUAAUGGCCUACCAAGGCUACGAUGGGUAGCUGGUCUGAGAGGAUGAUCAGCCACACUGGAACUGAGACACGGUCCAG
rnacentral:rRNA from 1 species